CUGUUAUUAUGAUUUCAUGUUGCCGAAGCUGUACUUUGAUAUGACUCAUCUCAUUCUCACAGCAGAAUGGAGGUCUGGAAGUAGAAGAACCCUCUCUGAGACAACAAGCUCCAGUCUGCCUGCCCAGGCUGAACUGUCUGUUCCCCUUUGGUAAGUGCUUCUCAUGACUGGCUGGCAAUGUUGUUCCAUUCUGCAUUUUCCUUUGCAUUCAACUUCCUUCUGAGUCAUAUUUUUUUAGGUAAUAAUAUAAUAAUCAAAUAGAUAAGUUUUGAGGAA